rnacentral:rRNA from 1 species
CCUACGGGAGGCAGCAGUGAGGAAUAUUGGUCAAUGGGCGCGAGCCUGAACCAGCCAAGUAGCGUGAAGGAUGACUGCCCUACGGGUUGUAAACUUCUUUUAUAUAGGAAUAAAGCGAUGCACGUGUGGCUUUUUGUAUGUACUUUAUGAAUAAGGAUCGGCUAACUCCGUGCCAGCAGCCGCGGUAAUACGGAGGAUCCGAGCGUUAUCCGGAUUUAUUGGGUUUAAAGGGAGCGUAGAUGGGUUGUUAAGUCAGUUGUGAAAGUUUGCGGCUCAACCGUAAAAUUGCAGUUGAAACUGGCAGCCUUGAGUACAGUUGAGGUAGGCGGAAUGCGUGGUGUAGCGGUGAAAUGCAUAGAUAGCGCGAAGAACUCCGAUUGCGAGGGCAGUGUACCGGAGUCGGACUGACACUGAGGCACGAAAGCGUGGGUAUCGAACAGGAUUAGAUACCCGUGUAGUC